UCCCCCUGCUUCCAAGCCAGGGGAAGCCAGUUGGUCGCACCACAAACCACCACCUCAUCCAGCCCCGGGGCAAGGGAAAGAGAAGCUGCCACAAAGCAGCCGCUGGGGCUGCACGAUCCUCUCGCCCCAGCCCCGAGGAAGGGCUGCCCUGCUGAGCCUGGAUCCCUCCCUCCCAGCCUCCAGCUCCCAGACCCGCGGGCACAAGCGAUCCCCAGAGAGCCGCUCCGCUCACCUCUCCGCUCGCAUCCCUCACGCCGGGGGGCAGGCGGCUCCUAAGGACCUUACCCAGGCGGGACGGGAGAGAGGGGGGGAUGCAUCAGGCACGCGGCUUCGCCCCGGGGCGCGCCACCCGGCCCCGCAGCGGCUAUAGCGACACCCACCUCCCGGGAGCCUCCAAACUCCCCUCUCGUGUCUCUUUGUACCAGCGAACAGACACAGCAGCCGGCCGCCCGCACUGCGGCUGCGCGCUGCCCAAAAUCAACAAUGCAACCCUCCUCCCCUGCUGGGGCUCCGGAGAGGAGGAGGAGCAGCGGGAUAAAUCGAGCUCUGGGGCUGAGCAUAGAGCGCACAGUCUGCGCGCAGGGGCACAGACCAGGCUGCCUAGCAAGGGUCGCUGGCUUAGGGGCAGAGUCACCAAGCGGGAGAGCUAGCUCAUACCAAGGAAAUUCAAUAACAAGAGUGAGAGGGCGAUAUGUUGCUCCCAAGAGGUUCAAGCAAAGCAGAGGACUGAACUUCAGGAUGUUGCUUGGGUAGAUUUGAUAGGUCAGCUCAGUUAUAUAGACCUGCCACUGCCUUUCUGUGUGACUUUGGACAAAUCACUCUCUCUGUGCCUUGGUGUUCCCAUCUGUAACGUGGGGAUAAUAAUACCUGCUAGGAUAGAAGAGAGGGCUGUUUAGAUCUAUUUAGAGCAUGCCCAGUGCUGGACCUCUUUCAAUCAUUUUAAAUAAAAUGUUUUGCAAUUUA